rnacentral:tRNA from 1 species
GGCCUGAUGGUCUAGUGGUAUGAUUCCUGCUUUGGGUUCACAUCUAAAAUGCAGGAGGCCCCGUGUUCGAAUCACGGUCAGGCCC